ensembl:snRNA U2 U2 spliceosomal RNA
UAGACUCCUUGGCCUUUUGGCUAAGAUCAAGUGGAUUAUCUGUUCUUAUCAGUUAAGUGCGUGAUGUGACCUCUGUCCAAGGACAAAAACUUAACACUGGACUUUGGAACAGAAAGAUGGAAUGGAGUGUGUACAUUUCAUUCAUCAGUCUGGAAGUGUGAUUUCUCCGGAAAUGGUCCACACCCU